AGCAGUAGCUGGUGAUGUUGUGCUUGGUUGCUCUGCUUCUAGGUGUCAGGACACACAGAGCUGCUCGGCCGGACUUCCCUCUGCCCCAGUGUCCUCCCCUGCGUUUAGAAGGGAUCUAAGAAGUAUCUUCCUUCUCCUGCGUUUCCACAUUCCUGUCUCCCAUCCCAGGCCAUGCUGUGCUAUUAUCACUCUUGCAUCAGAGCUUGCCUGUGGAAAAGCCCAGACUACAUAAAGACGUCAAACCCGAGUACCUCUGCGCCCUUGACUCCCAUUCAGCAUGGACUGCCGUGGCUCAGCCAGCCUUCUGUGAUGUCUGACUCAGUGGAGCCUUCUGUCAACUACAGUCCCAGGCAGCAUAUAACUGAUGUCGCAUUACAUGUGCCAAGCAAGGGCCUCUGGUUGAUCUCAGGAAGCCCACGGAGCCAUGAGAAGGAAUAAAGUAUUGUUUUACAUGA